UACGUAGGGGGCGAGCGUUGUCCGGAUUCAUUGGGCGUAAAGCGCGCGUAGGCGGCCCCGCAAGUCGGCCGUGAAAUCUCCGGGCUCAACUCGGAGGGGUCGGGCGAGACUGCGGAGCUCGAGGUGGGCAGAGGGCAGUGGAAUUCCGGGUGUAGUGGUGGAAUGCGUAGAGAUCCGGAGGAACACCAGUGGCGAAGGCGGCUGCCUGGGCCUGGCCUGACGCUGAGGCGCGAAAGCUAGGGGAGCAAACAGG
rnacentral:rRNA from 1 species